rnacentral:rRNA from 1 species
AGUCGACUAGAGUUGAUCCUGGCUCAGAACGAACGCUGGCGGCGUGCCUAACACAUGCAAGUCGAGCGAGAAAGCCCGCAAGGGUGAGUAAAGCGGCGCACGGGUGCGUAACACGUGGGUAAUCUGCCCGGAAGUCCGGAAUAACUCGCCGAAAGGCGUGCUAAUGCCGGAUAAGACCACGGGAACUUCGGUUCCUGCGGGAAAAGGUGGCCUCUGUACACAAGCUAUCACUUCCGGAUGAGCCCGCGGCCCAUCAGCUAGUUGGCGGGGUAACGGCCCACCAAGGCUACGACGGGUAGCUGGUCUAAGAGGACGAUCAGCCACACUGGAACUGAGACACGGUCCAGACUCCUACGGGAGGCAGCAGUGGGGAAUCUUGCGCAAUGGGCGAAAGCCUGACGCAGCAACGCCGCGUGUGUGAUGAAGGUCUUCGGAUCGUAAAGCACUGUCGGGAGGGACGAAUAAGGUCGGCGCUAACAUCGCCGGACGAUGACGGUACCUCCAAAGGAAGCACCGGCUAACUCUGUGCCAGCAGCCGCGGUAA